rnacentral:misc_RNA from 1 species
UAUCCGGAGGUGAACCUGCGGAAGGAUCAUUAUUGUAUAACCGAGGUGCGAGGGCUGUCGCUGACCCGAAAGGUCGUGCACGCCCGAGUGCCCUCACACACAUCCAUCUCACCCCUAUGUGCACCACCGCGUGGGUCCCCCUUUGGCUUGUUCGGAGGGGGGCUUACGUUUUCACACAAACUUUGUAUGCAGUGUAGAAUGUAUUUUUUGUUUUUGCGAUCACGCAAUCAAUACAACUUUCAACAACGGAUCUCUUGGCUCUC